rnacentral:rRNA from 1 species
GACGAACGCUGGCGGCGUGCCUAAUACAUGCAAGUAGAACGCUGAAGGAGGAGCUUGCUUCUCUGGAUGAGUUGCGAACGGGUGAGUAACGCGUAGGUAACCUGCCUGGUAGCGGGGGAUAACUAUUGGAAACGAUAGCUAAUACCGCAUAACAGUAGAUAUCGCAUGAUAUCUACUUGAAAGGUGCAAUUGCAUCACUACCAGAUGGACCUGCGUUGUAUUAGCUAGUUGGUGAGGUAACGGCUCACCAAGGCGACGAUACAUAGCCGACCUGAGAGGGUGAUCGGCCACACUGGGACUGAGACACGGCCCAGACUCCUACGGGAGGCAGCAGUAGGGAAUCUUCGGCAAUGGACGGAAGUCUGACCGAGCAACGCCGCGUGAGUGAAGAAGGUUUUCGGAUCGUAAAGCUCUGUUGUAAGAGAAGAACGAGUGUGAGAGUGGAAAGUUCACACUGUGACGGUAUCUUACCAGAAAGCCACGGCUAACUACGUG